AGAGCUCAAAGUUAAAAUCGGGGUUCUGAGAGGAGCUUCCGAAUUGUAAUCUAGAGACACUUUUUCAGCUUCGACCCGGGUAUAAAUCUUUUGAAACGAGGUGUCAUAGAGGGUGAGAAUCCCGUCUUUGAUCCGGAGUUCGGGGCGUACGAAGGGUGUUCCAAGAGUCGAAUAGCUUGGGAAUGCUGUUCUAAAUGGGUGGUAAAUUUCAUCUAAAGCUAAAUAUCGACGAGAGACCGAUAGCGAA
rnacentral:rRNA from 1 species